rnacentral:rRNA from 1 species
AAGGAUCAUUAUCGAGUCUUUGAAGUAGGGGUUUGCAUCUCUUGCCCUUCAAUGCCCUCUGAUGCUGGUAACAAGAACACACACUUGUUACAUGUGCUCAAGGGAUUUUUAGGGAAGGAGAGAGUGAAUCUUCCUGCUUUCAAAUCUGCUCAUGCUCUUUUAACACCUGUGCACCAUAAGCAGAGUUCAAUGUCUCUGAGUUAGCUUUUGUGAUCAGUAUAUGUUAUAUAUGUACCAUUGUGGGUCCUAUAUGGGUCUGUAUGGGGUGUAUGCAAUGUAUAUCUACACAUGAAGGCAGCUUGGAUGAAUAUAUUGGCUCUGUUUUUAACACAAACUCUUAAAAAUGUCAUGUAGAAUGAAAUGCUCCAGUAGUGAGCAAAAACCUAUACAACUUUCAACAAUGGAUCUCUUGGCUCUUGCAUCGAUGAAGAACGCAGCGAAAUGCGAUAAGUAAUGUGAAUUGCAGAAUUCAGUGAAUCAUCGAAUCUUUGAACACACCUUGUGCUCCUGGGGUCACCUAUGGAGCAUGCCUGUUUGAGUGUCAUAUUGACUCAAUUCCCCUCAGGUUUUUCUUUAUGAAUACCUGUUCAGGUGGAGUUGGAUUUGGAGGUUUCAUGCAGGUCCCCUUUGCAGGGGAUCAGCUCCUCUUAAAAACAUUAGCUUUUGAGGAUCAAGCAAAAAGGCUCUUUAGCAUUGUUCAUUGGCUAUGGUGUAAUAAUUGUUCCAUCAUGGUGUUUUAUAUGAUCAAUGUGCUUGACUGGAGACUUUCUGAGCAUCAUCAGCUUCUAAUUGUCAGGUCUAUCCUGACACUUAUAUUGACUCUUGACCUCAAAUC